rnacentral:rRNA from 1 species
GGCGAACGCUGGCGGCAUGCCUAACACAUGCAAGUCGAGCGAGCAGAUCCCUUCGGGGUGAAGCUAGCGGCGGACGGGUGAGUAACACGUGGGCAACCUGCCUCAUAGAGGGGAAUAGCCUUCCGAAAGGAAGAUUAAUACCGCAUAAGAUUGCAGCUUCGCAUGAAGUAGCAAUUAAAGGAGCAAUGCCGCUAUGAGAUGGGCCCGCGGCGCAUUAGCUAGUUGGUGAGGUAACGGCUCACCAAGGCGACGAUGCGUAGCCGACCUGAGAGGGUGAGCGGCCACAUUGGGACUGAGCCACGGCCCAGACUCCUACGGGAGGCAGCAGUGGGGAAUAUUGCACAUGGGGGAAACCCUGAUGCAGCAAUGCCGCGUGAGUGAUGACGGCCUUCGGGUUGUAAAGCUCUGUCUUCGGGGACGAUAAUGACGGUACCCGAGGAGGAAGCCACGGCUAACUACGUGCCAGCCGCCGCAGUAA